rnacentral:rRNA from 1 species
AGCGAACGCUGGCGGCAGGCCUAACACAUGCAAGUCGAACGAACCCUUCGGGGUUAGUGGCGGACGGGUGAGUAACACGUGGGAACGUGCCUUUAGGUUCGGAAUAACUCAGGGAAACUUGUGCUAAUACCGAAUGUGCCCUUCGGGGGAAAGAUUUAUCGCCUUUAGAGCGGCCCGCGUCUGAUUAGCUAGUUGGUGAGGUAAUGGCUCACCAAGGCUACGAUCAGUAGCUGGUCGGAGAGGAUGACCAGCCACAUUGGGACUGAGACACGGCCCAAACUCCUACGGGAGGCAGCAGUGGGGAAUCUUGCGCAAUGGGCGAAAGCCUGACGCAGCCAUGCCGCGUGGAUGAUGAAGGUCUUAGGAUUGUAAAAUCCUUUCACCGGUGAAGAUAGUGACUGUAGCCGGAGAAGAAGCCCCGGCUAACUUCGUGCCAGCCGCCGCCGUAAAAC